rnacentral:rRNA from 1 species
AUACGGAGGGUGCAAGCGUUACUCGGAAUCACUGGGCGUAAAGGACGCGUAGGCGGGUUGUCAAGUCAGAUGUGAAAUCCUACAGCUCAACUGUAGAACUGCAUUUGAAACUGGCAACCUAGAGUAUGGGAGGGGGAGAUGGAAUUAGUGGUGUAGGGGUAAAAUCCGUAGAUAUCACUAGGAAUACCGAAAGCGAAGGCGAUCUCCUGGAACAUUCCUGACGCUGAGGCGUGAAAGCGUGGGGAGCAAACGGGAUUAGAAACCCUAGUAGUCC